AACGCAUAUUGCGCUCGAGGCUUCGGCCAAGAGCAUGUCUGCCUCAGCGUCGGGUUAACAUCACUCCCAACAAUCCAUAUGGCUUGUUGUAAGUGGAUCUGGCUUUCCCAGAUAGCAAUCUCGGUUGUUGUCUGGGUCUGCUGAAGAACAGAGGUUGAUGCAUAGACCCGUUUACGGGCCGCAGUUGGGUAGGCAGCUUCUUGCUUGCUAUCAAUAUCUUACUGUUGGCUUGGGUAGAUGCGCGCAACCCUCAAACCAGGAACUGUGCAUGCUCCUCACCGAGCAUGUGCUUCUUUUGUUCUCGACCUGAGCUCAGGCAAGAUUACCCGCUGAACUUAA
rnacentral:misc_RNA from 1 species